rnacentral:rRNA from 1 species
UUGCACGCUGGCGGACUGCUUUACCCCUGCAAGUCGCACGGCAGCACGGGGGCAGCCCUGGUGGCGAGUGGCGAACGGGUGAGUAAUACAUCGGAACGUGCCCGGUCGUGGGGGAUAACGUAGCGAAAGUUACGCUAAUACCGCAUACGAUCUGAGGAUGAAAGCGGGGGACCUUCGGGCCUCGCGCGAUCGGCGCGGCCGAUGUCAGAUUAGGUAGUUGGUGGGGUAAAGGCCUACCAAGCCGACGAUCUGUAGCUGGUCUGAGAGGACGACCAGCCACACUGGGACUGAGACACGGCCCAGACUCCUACGGGAGGCAGCAGUGGGGAAUGUUGGACAAUGGGCGCAAGCCUGAUCCAGCCAUUCCGCGUGCAGGACGAAGGCCUUCGGGUUGUAAACUGCUUUUGUACGGAACGAAAAGGCUCUGGCUAAUACCUGGGGCUCAUGACGGUACCGUAAGAAUAAGCACCGGCUAACUACGUG